AUGAGAGGCUUAUAUAAUAUUUUAAAAAACUCAAACAUAAUAAAUGAACAAGUAAAUUCUUUUUAUGAAGCUAUUAAAAAUAGUGAAACUGCCAGUGAUAAGUUAAAGCAAAUUCAAUAUAAUAGCUCAAAUAUAUUUGACCAAACUAGUAUACUGAGUACGCAUAAUGAUAAUUAUAACAAUAAAAUUGAAUAUUUAAAAGAGGAAAAUAAUCAUGAAAAACAUAUUAUCUGUGAAAUGAAAACUGGUUCAGGUAAAUCUUUGACGUUAUUGGCACCAUUAAUAUAUUGGCUUUUAAAACACAAAUUUGAUUUGUUUAUAAUGAAGGAAAACUUGAAAUUAAAAGCAGAUGAACCCGAAUGGAUAAAAGAAAGUAUAGCUGAACGGGCUAUCGAAAAAUAUGCUAACAUAUUAGAAAAACAAAAAAGAAAACAAGAAUGCGAUACUAAUAUCCUUAAUAAAUAUUUUACUUUUGUUAAUGAUAAGGUAACUUUAAUAGAACAAAAAAAAAUUGAAAAGAGAGUUGUUGCAGAAACGAAUCGUCAGAGUAAGAAUACGGAUGACAUACCACUAAUCUACCAAAAUGAAGACGCUCCGAGCAAUUACUCUAUUGAGGACUCUGACAAAAAACAAGUAACAAUUAACAUAAUUUUUUACAACAAUAUAUAUAUGUAUAUUAUGCUUCUAAAAAAAAAAAAAAAAAAAAAAAAAAAAUACACAUAUACAUAUACACACGUUUUACAUGUCUAUUUUUGGCAGAUCUUUAUUUGUAGUAGAACACAAUCGCAACUGAAUCAGUACUUUUAUGAAUUAAAAAAAAUAGAAAAAAAAAUGACAAAUGUUUUUAUAAAUAUGAUUAUUAUUGGUAGUAGAAAACAUAUGUGUAUAAACCAGGUAAGAUAACAGAAGUUGUUAAAAGUGUGUUCGCAAGCAUAUGUAUGUGCGUAUGUUGAUGAAAAUGCAACAACACAAAACAACACACACACAUACAUACAUGUAAACAAUUGCUUUUCUUUUCUUUUCUUUUAACUCCACAGGAUAUACUAAAAAAGUGUCCAAAUAUAAACGAACUGAAUGACACUUGUAAAAACAGUA
rnacentral:lncRNA from 1 species